rnacentral:lncRNA from 1 species
UGAAGGGUAGGCCUUUGACUCUGGGUGGUAGGACAGACAUAGGAGAACAGGGUGGGGCUCUAGAGGACCAGGCGGGGCUUCUGGGGGCCAAAGGGAAGGACCAGCUGCUGGGCAGGAGGGGCUUUCCGGCCAGUGGCCUGGGGUGGCUUGGUUUUGAAUUUCCGCUCUGCGGGCCACGUCCUGUACACAGCCUCUCAGCCAGCACGUCUGCACACGUGCAUGGCUGCUGGGAAUGGGGGUCACUCCGACUGACCAUCAUCUCCACAUGUAUUUUCCAUUGCUCAGACAUCUGACUGUUGGUGUGAGACCAGUGCUCCUGGUGGUGUGCCCUGAGCCAUGGAGGCGCCUUUGCAGACAGAGAUGGUGGAGCUGGUGCCCAAUGGCAAACACUCAGAGGGGCUGCUCCCGGUCAUCACCCCCAUGGCAGGCAACCAGAGGUCGAGGACCCUGCACGGAGCUGUAUGGAGGGCAAGAGCUUCCUACAGAAAAGUCCCAGCAAGGAGCCACACUUCACUGACUUCGAGGGGAAGACAUCAUUCGGGAUGUCAGUGUUCAACCUCAGCAAUGCCAUCAUGGGCAGCGGCAUCCUGGGACUCGCCUAUGCCAUGGCCAAUACGGGCAUUAUCCUUUUCCUG